CCGUGGGAAGGAUGUAGCUGUUCACUUCAGAAAGAAUACAAUUAUUGCAAGAUGACUUCACCGGCUAAAGGCUAGCGAUGCUCAUAUCAGGUGGAGUUACAGAGGUCACUUACAUGUGGAGCAGAGAACUUCAGAGCCUCGCUUGUUAAAUGUUAUACUAAUGCAAUUC